GCUAAUGUUUACAUCGCCAUGUGGGCCUGCAGUAAUACGUGCCUCCCACUGCUUUCUUUGACGGUGCUGCACUGCUGCUCGACGCGUACGCAGGGUGGGCCAUUGCAGUGUGGCACUGGCAUCCGCUCCCCAAACUUAGCCCCGCACUCCAUUUGUCUCUUCGCUCUCCCUAGGGUUUCUGGCUGCCGACCCGAGGUCACUGCCCAGUCGUCGGAUCCGUAGGGCGGCCGCCUGCACCGGCACAGAGGCAGUACAUGGCGAGGGUGGCGGCGGUGCGUAGUCAGUGGUGGGGGGCUGGGGACGGUGGGCGCAGUAGCCAGAAAGGGCGGCGCCGUCGUGGUCGUCAUCCCGUCCCUAUGAUCUCGUGGGAGAUCGUCCUCUGAAAAAGGGGAGGCAACGCCUCGCUCUCCUUCUCCGGCUGCAGGGUAGCUUGAGUCGUCACGCCUCCACGGCGAAGGUCGAUGGGGACGCAGUACACACGGACGGAGGAGCGGGCUCCGGGGCCAGGCUACUACCACUCAACAUCUGCGAUUGGACCAGGCCAAGUCGUCGUGGGCGCCUGCACGGCCGGAGGUCCAUGGGGGCGCAGCCGGAAAAAACUGUUCCUAGCCCAACAAUCGCCCCUGUCCUCGCUCACGAACGGAACCCAGAUCCUCUCCUCCAUGUCCAGGCUCCCGCGACGGACAUAGGACGCCCGGCCCCGUCCUGCCCUUCUCGCUGCCUCCGACCUCCCCUCCCUAGAUCCCCGAACUGCGCCGGAGUGCGGGGCCAGCUGCGCCGCGGAUCUAGAUCCUGAGUGGUCACUUUUCCCCGUUUGGUGCUAGCCAUGGCAGCCAGGCUAGAUGCUUCGGGAGAAGGCUAAGCUCUCAGAUUAGUUGUAACAUAAGCUGCUCGCUCGUGCCGCCUCGGGAUACCUGUAAGAAGUAGCGAGUGGUGCUGGUCCGAUCGCCGGUGCUUGCGUUGCUUUUUUCAUGCUCGCGUGGCAUUAUCAGGGGA